CAUAUCAAUAAGCGGAGGAAAAGAAACUAACAAGGAUUCCCCUAGUAACUGCGAGUGAAGCGGGAAGAGCUCAAAUUUAAAAUCUGGCGUGCCUCUGGUCGUCCGAGUUGUARUCUGGAGAAGCGUUUUCCGUGUCGGACCGUGUAUAAGUCCCUUGGAACAGGGCGUCGUAGAGGGUGAGAAUCCCGUCUUUGACAUGGACUACCGAUGCUUUGCGAUGCGCUCUCAAAGAGUCGAGUUGUUUGGGAAUGCAGCUCAAAACGGGUGGUAAAUUCCAUCUAAAGCUAAAUAUAGGCGAGAGACCGAUAGCGAACAAGUACCGUGAGGGAAAGAUGAAAAGCACUUUGGAAAGAGAGUUAAACAGUACGUGAAAUUGCUGAAAGGGAAACGCUUGAAGUCAGUCGUGUCUGCCAGGACUCAGCCUCGCUUCUGCUUGGUGUACUUUCUGGUCGGAUGGGCCAACAUCGAUUUCGAUCGUCGGAGAAAGGCUUUGGGAAUGUGGCACCUUCGGGUGUGUUAUAGCCCUUUGUCGUAUACGACGAUCGGGAUCGAGGACCGCAGCACGCCUUUACGGCCGGGGUUUUGCCCACGUACGUGC
rnacentral:rRNA from 1 species